UGACGACCGUUCCUCCUGCUGCUGCGAGGUCUAGCAUGACAGGGUUUUAGGUCGUCACAGAAUAAAGAGACCCUCUACACCAGUGUGUAAGCCCUCAAGGCUGUCUCUGUGCACUCUGGAUACAGUGGGACUCGACACAA
ensembl:snoRNA